GGAAUGACCUCCUACACAGCCCGAGAGCCCACACCGGUGACACCCUCCUGAAGGCCUUCCAGACUGCAUUCUGCACCCUGCAUGCCAGUUACAGACGGAGAGUCCCCUCGCAGUGGGGCCCGGCAAGCACCCUGGAGGUGAACGUCACCGGUACGCGCACAGUGGGACAUCGCUCAGCCGAAGGGCGGAAGGAGCUCCCGCCGUAUGCAGGGACACAGAUAAACAAAAGCUGAGAAUUCUAUGCCAGGAGACCCACCCUACAGGGAACAUUACAGAAUGUUCUUAAGACUAAAGGA